ACAGAGGAAAAAGCAGGAACCAGCUGUAAUGGCAGAGCUCGACCAGAGAUCAAGACGGUUAAAUUCUGUAUUUCCAGAUGAAAAACUGUAGUUUUUUACGAGGAAACCUAGUAAUUGUAGCAUAUGUAUAAUGCAUCCGUGGCAGGGCGUGCUGCCCUUGCUAGGAGAUCAACGAUUUGCUCAAAAAACAAUGAGCAAAAACCGCGGCUUGGAGAGGAGUAUGCUUGUUUAUUAAGUUGUAGGUGUUACAGAAGUGUAAAUUUAAUCUGAAAAUAUUGGUGUAAUUUAGUUAU
rnacentral:misc_RNA from 1 species